GACGAACCGAGCGAACGUUGUUCGGAAUCACUGGGCUUAAAGGGCGCGUAGGCGGGCUCGCAAGUCUGUGGUGAAAUCCUCCAGCCCAACUGGAGAAUGGCCGUGGAUACUGCGGGUCUCGAGGGAGGUAGGGGCGUGCGGAACAGAUGGUGGAGCGGUGAAAUGCGUUGAUAUCAUCUGGAACUCCGGUGGCGAAGGCGGCACGCUGGACCUCUUCUGACGCUGGAGGCGCGAAAGCCAGGGGAGCAAACGGG
rnacentral:rRNA from 1 species